rnacentral:rRNA from 1 species
AUACGUAGGGGGCUAGCGUUAUCCGGAAUUACUGGGCGUAAAGGGUGCGUAGGUGGUUUCUUAAGUCAGAGGUGAAAGGCUACGGCUCAACCGUAGUAAGCCUUUGAAACUGGGAAACUUGAGUGCAGGAGAGGAGAGUGGAAUUCCUAGUGUAGCGGUGAAAUGCGUAGAUAUUAGGAGGAACACCAGUGGCGAAGGCGCUUCUCUGGACUGUAACUGACGCUGAGGCUCGAAAGCGUGGGGAGC